ACUUCUUUAAAAGACAGACACCUUGAAUUUGUAAGAUGGUCUGCUUCAAGAUCUCUUGCGUGAUUAACUCACAUAUCAGUAUUCGGUUUUGAAGGCUCAUGCCGCUUGUAAGCCCAAGCGCGCGAUGAUCGCCUUCAAAAAGCGUGAGGUACCUUGACAGCUGCAUAAUGUGUAACAAACAAGAAAUCACACCAUAACAAGCAAUUGUUAUCUUUUUUCUUGGCCUUAAGAUGCGCUUGUGAACACAGGCGUAUCAAAGGUUUGCAUCUUUACCAAGUAAAAGAUCUGCAUUGGUAUGUAAAAGAUCAUAUGCAUCGAAAAAGAUAGUAAGGGCGUACGGUGGAUGCCUUGGCACAGAUAGUCGAUGAAGGACGUGGUAAGCUGCGAUAAGCUGCGGUGAGGUGCACUCAACCUGUGACCCGCAGAUCUCCGAUGGGGGGAAGGAGCGGAA
rnacentral:misc_RNA from 1 species